rnacentral:rRNA from 1 species
GAUGAACGCUAGCGGCAGGCCUAACACAUGCAAGUCGAGGGGUAGAAUUAGCUUGCUAAUUUGAGACCGGCGCACGGGUGCGUAACGCGUAUGCAAUCUACCUUGUACAGGGGGAUAGCCCAGAGAAAUUUGGAUUAAUACUCCAUGGUAUAAUUGAAUCGCAUGGUUUGAUUAUUAAAGUUCCAACGGUACAAGAUGAGCAUGCGUCCCAUUAGCUAGUUGGUGUGGUAACGGCAUACCAAGGCGACGAUGGGUAGGGGUCCUGAGAGGGAGAUCCCCCACACUGGUACUGAGACACGGACCAGACUCCUACGGGAGGCAGCAGUGAGGAAUAUUGGUCAAUGGUCGGAAGACUGAACCAGCCAUGCCGCGUGCAGGAAGACGGUCCUAUGGAUUGUAAACUGCUUUUGUACGGGAAGAAACACUCCUUCGUGAAGGAGCUUGACGGUACUGUAAGAAUAAGGAUCGGCUAACUCCGUG